UACGUAGGGGGCAAGCGUUGUCCGGAAUCAUUGGGCGUAAAGCGCGUGUAGGCGGCUUGGUAAGUCCGCUCUGAAAGCCCGGGGCUCAACCCCGGGAGGCGGGUGGAUACUGUCAAGCUCGAGUCCGGAAGAGGCGAGUGGAAUUCCUGGUGUAGCGGUGAAAUGCGCAGAUAUCAGGAAGAACACCCAUGGCGAAAGCGGCUCUCUGGAACGGUACUGACGCUGAGACGCGAAAGCGUGGGGAGCGAACAGG
rnacentral:rRNA from 1 species